CCUACGUGGGGCAGCAGUGAGGAAUAUUGGGCAAUGGGCGCGAGCCUGAACCAGCCACGCCGCGUGAAGGAAGACGGCCCUACGGGUUGUAACCUUCUUUUAUCAGGGAACAAAGUGUGGCACGCGUGCCUGUAUGUGUGUACUUUAAGAAAAAGCAUCGGCUAACUCCGUGCCAGUAGCCGCGGUAAUACGGAGGUUCCGAGCGUUAUUCGGAUUUUUUGGGUUGAAAGGGUGGUUAGGUGGGUUGUUAAGUCAGUUGUGAAAGGUCGAGGCUCAACCGUUGACUUGCCAUUGAUACUGGGAGUCUUGAGUGCAGUUGAGGUAGGCGGAAUUCGGGGUGUAGCGGUGAAAUGCUUAGAUAUCACGAAGAACUCCGAUUGCGAAGGCAGCUUAC
rnacentral:rRNA from 1 species